GGCGGGGGCGGUGAGUAUAAAAAGGAGAAAAGAAUGGUUUGUGAAGACAGGCACGAUAUAUAUACCACUAUUGAGUGUGCAGUUCCAAACCACAGUUGCAGUAGGAUACAGGUAUGAUCACAGGAGCCAGGGGACUACGCACUGUGACUCAGAGCUCCUGCAUCCACGAGAAGCUCAGACACGCUCCACAACGUAACACAGCACAGACGGCCCUGGUCACUGCCAUACACGUUCUCAUGCUCGUGAAACAUACAGCAAGACACCACAGCUUACUACCCUCCCAUCGGAUACGGCACUCAGUGCACCGACAGUCCAGCGAGCGCACUGGAUUUCCGCUUCUCCUAACAGAAGACAACCCGCUACGCUUUGUAAAUAGUCACCGCUUGAACAAUUUGGUCAACUUGUGCCAAGAAGGAGGUCUGGGAACCAGCGUUUCCCUGGAGCCUGCGGCCCCCAGUGGAACACAGGAUGCUGCAAACUGCUCAUUUAUCAAAAAAGUAAAGCCUACUAAUUUUCUAUCAUUAUAAAAGUAGAAAGAGUGAGAAAAAAAAAUCUGAAAAUGAUCUCAUUUGCUGAAGACUGCCAAGUGUAUCGCAGACAAACAAUGGAAAAUCCAUUUUGUAAAAUACAGCAGCCUAGAAAUCAAAAUCGUAAGUUUAUCAAUCAUCUUUUUUAAAAAAAAGAGCCCUUGCCCUGUCUUUUGGUUGCAUGGACGCGUUAGUACUGACUUUAAGGUGCAGUUGCGGAGGGAAAAAUGCCAUUCGGCACUCUAUCCGUGACAAUAUUUUAAUACUGACACAAGCUGAAGACAGCCCACCGAGGGCACGACGGCCGAGACGCCACCCGCGUUGAAGGCAGGGGUGCGGUCCAGUUCCGAUGAGAAAUUAACAGCUGCGAAGACAAGGUUUAAAAUGGUUCUGUGGAGACAGAUGAGAGUCGCUGUGAAACCAUGUAUUAUUUUGUUUUCCAGACAGACAGGUGUUAAUUUUACUAGGCUUCAUUAAUACAGAAGAAAGAAAAUGUCUUCCGGGAAAGUCGCCACUGCUGAAACAAUCAACACAUGUGUCCCGUCCUGCCAUCAAUACACCUUCAUGACCCCUGGCGGUCGUUACUUACAAAGCCCCAGCGUGACCUAAUACUGCCUGGCGUAGAAUCUGCUCUUGUAGCAGGAGAGAUCUCACAUGAGCUCCUAGCUUCCAGCAGGUUCCCAGACAGCUGAUUCUACAAGACAAGUCAGCCUGUAAGGAGCCCGGUGGAAAGGCCAACUCAGUGUCACAGCCCGGUGGGGCCCGCCGGCAGGGCCGUGCUUCUGGUCAUCGGAUGUAGAAUUAAGGAGAUCGUCCUGGAGUAGCGGCCCGUAUCCACUACGGCUGACAGACAGACACGGGGCAGCCCCUGUGACCACAGGCAGGCGCGAGUGCUGCGUCUACAAGCCCGAGAACACCAAGGCUGGCCAGCAACCCACAGCAGCCGGCAGAGGCCAGGCGGCCGCCUCCCACACGGGUUUA